GCGUCUUGUGGAGCUGUCCCCGGACGGGCUGCAGAGGCUGAAGACCCCCAGAAGUGGCUUGUGAAGCUUGCACUUUUUUCUUGACUGGACUUUAACCCGCAGAAGUAUGGCCGCCUUAAUAUCUGAAAACUUGAAGUUCUUUUCUCUGUUCUUCAGGAGCAGAGAUGUGAUGAUAUUCAAUGGACUGGUUGCGUUGGGAACGGUUGGCAGCCAGGAGUUGUUCUCGGUGGUGGCUUUCCACUGCCCUUGUUCUCCGGAGAGAAACUAUUUGUAUGGACUGGCAGCUAUAGGAGUGCCAGCCCUUGUCUUGUUUCUCAUUGGCAUCAUACUAAAUAACCACACCUGGAAUCUCGUAGCAGAGUGUCGGAAAAGGGCGGUGAAGAACUGUUCAAUUCCAUCUACUUUCUUGUUAUUUGGAUCCAUAGCCGGGAGGGCAGCGGUAGCCCCUGUGACCUGGACUGUCAUUUCACUCCUCCGGGGGGAGGCCUAUGUGUGCGCCCGCAGUGAGUUCUUGAACCCAUUCACAUUUCCAAAUUUCCCUCUGGACAAAGGACGAGAAGACAUAGCUAAAUUUCCAUGCAAGGACACCCCACCUGAUCUUUUGAUCUUUAAAGAAGAAGUUAUACGGAGGUUAAAGUAUGAAUCGCAGUUUCUCGGCUGGAUUCUGAUUGCUGUGGUUGCUUCAAUGAUAUUCCUUCUAAAAUGCUUGCACCAUUGCUGUUCUCCUUUAAGUUACCACCAGGAAGCAUAUUGGAGCCAGUACCGCAACUGUGAGAAAGAGCUCUUCAACCGCACUGCCGAAGUCCACGCCAAGGUCCUAGCGGCCAGUAACGUCAAGCAAUUUUUUGGUUUUGUGGCUUUGAAUACAGAAGAGAAAGAAAUGGUCAGGGAGUAUCCGGUGGAUGAGGCUCAGCCAAGUCCUCAGUGGAAUGAAAUCACAGGGCUGUACCUGUAUCGGGAAAACAAAGGCUUCCCCUUGUACAGCCGUCUUCACAAAUGGGCUAAAAAGUUAAUCGGGAAUGGCACAGAUAAUAUCAAAGAAACUGCACUGCUUGCAAUGUGAGAUGGUGAUUUUUUGACGUAGCAUUAAGAGGAAGUCCACUGGCUCGCAAGAUGCAUUAAUGGGAACCUGUCAUCACCUGCCCAUGCUGCCCAUACUAACGGCAGUAUAAACUAGACACAGGCAUUUGGCACUUCUGGAGCAAUGCUGGAUAAAGCGAAUUUGUGGUGUAAGCCAGUGCUGCUUUGGUCUGUGUCUGGAGGUUCUCAGGGUAGCGAGCUUCGUCCAGGGUGCUUCUGGGAUGGACUCGGAUUUGUGAGAGUGAAGGAGAGGACGCUGUGGUCAGAGAGAGCUUGGCCGAUGCUGACAGACAUGUGACCCAUCCAAACCACUGCAUUGUCCAUCAACAAUGAGAGAACAAAGCACAGGAUUUCCUCUACAAUUCUGGGUUACCUUCACGUGGUCAUCUGAUCCCUAAAUGACGGCUCAUUUGGACCAUGCUGCUGAUGAACAGAAUGAAGCAGAGAACGGUCUUCUAAUAACCAGCGCCGGUACAUCAUGUCUUAAAUGUCCACGGGUCACCUUAUCCAAAAGUGGCCUAAUAUGACAAAGGAGACAGCCCGGUCAGUGCCACUGAAUUUCUUCAUUCUCGCCUUUGGUGCUGGGUUUCUCUUACUUAUAUUCUGCCUUAUUUUUUGCUGCUGCUUUUUCAGACUCAAGCAGCAGGAGCAGUACAGGAGACGAGGCUACAAGAAGGUGGUGCUAAAGAACAAAUCAAAGAAAACCAACCUGAUCGGGCAAGUGUGCGCCGUGUGUCUGGAGGAGUUUAGAGAGAAGGAAGAGCUUGGCCUGUGUCCUUGCACCCAUGCCUUCCACACAAAGUGCCUGAUGAAAUGGUUAGAAGUGCGAAACUCUUGUCCAAUGUGCAAUAAAACCAUUUCAAUGCCUCUGCCCAGACCUUCCUUGGAACACAUGUGAAGAAGUCUUCUGGUCUAAGUUUAGCUAGCUCUAGUGGCCGAGCCCGUGUAAAUGGGAAAGCAACAUGUGCUUGUCAUCGAGGCUCAGCUGUCAACACUCUGCAGUCUGAGGUUAGGCGAGGUGACAGGCACGCUCACCCUUGGUCACAUCAGUCAGCGAGCGGUAACCCAUCUUCAGAAAUAGAUCAGAUAUUUAAUCAGAUGAGACCAUGGACGUAUUAUACGGCAUAUGCUGUAAUCUGGCUGGAGGAGGGGAAGGAAAGUAAAACAUGGAGGGUUGGAGGAAGUGUAUAAGGUGAAUUGGGUAUAGAUAAAUGAAGGUAUACAAGGUAGUAUCAUGGAUAAGGCCAGUGUCAGGCCACUGUAUGAUCGAUGCCAUUACAGGACCCUUUUGCAAUUAUACUGCACAAAACUUACAUCGCCAUAGAAUUCUGAAGUGAUCCAAGUUUAUUUCAGUAGAAACAUGGGCAGUCCAGAUACUGAAGCCAUAAUUUGGACACUAAAAUGAGGUCCUAUUAUAGGUGUCUGAGACCAGCCUAAGGGCUCAUGCACAUGACCGUAUGCCCUCCGAGGCAUACAUCGUGCGCACGGCCUCAUAGAUUACUAUGAUACUGUGCACAUAGGGCCGUCUGCGGGCCUACUGUCCUGCACUCAUAUGAUCAUAGGCCCGACGUGCACAGUAUCAUAGUAACCUACGAUGCCGUGCUAAAAUGUACGCCGCUCUGGGGCAUAUGACCCGCUCACUAACCGUAUGUCUCAGAGCGUAUAUGGUCGUGUGCAUGAGCCCUAAUUCUCAUAUGUAAAAAGUAGAAGAAAGAGAUGAGGUAUGUUGGGUUCCUUAAAAUGAGGGAGACGCAGGGCUAUUUAGCCAUUGUUAGAAAAACACGGCUGCUGUUGUACAUAGCUCAGCUUCUAGAAAGGUAAUCCUGAUAACUGUACUGGUAUGCCAUGAUCUGAAAGUCAAGAAAGAUGGUAGGAGAACGUGAACUGUGAACAGCUGAUAGGAGGCAAAUAGUCUUCAUUAAAUAAACAAUUAUCUGCUAUGCAGACCUAUGUGCCUGCAUGGUUGCUGACUUCCAGAACUCCAACUGUGGUGAAACUACAACUCCCAGCAUGCUCCAUUCAUUUCUAUGGAGCUCUGAGAACAGCCAAGCAAAUGUGCAUCUAGUUUUACCACAGCUGGAGUGCCGGAGGUCAGCCAUCACAGUCUGAUGUAGCUGGAUUGUGUUACUCCUACACCUAUCUAUCCCCUACUUCAUGCAAACCUAGCAAACGACCCCCUAUUCCACGUGGUAAAUACCAUACGAUAGGACAGUAAAGCAGGGUCUUCAUUUCUGGAUUACAUUUGCAAUCAAUAAUAAAAUAAUAAGGGCAGCACUAAAGGUGAAGAGAGUAUUAAAAAUGAUUUCAUGAUUAUACCAGUGGUAAAUAAAAUACAGAUAUCACAUACACAAGAAGCUUAAUAAUAAACUAGUACGGUGUUUCCCAACCAGCAUGCCUCCAGCUGUUGCAAAACUACAACUCCCAGCAUGCCCAGAUAGCCUUUGGCUGUGCGGGCAUGCUGGGAGGUGUAGUUUUGCAACAGCUGGAGGCACACUGGUUGGGAAACACUGAACUAGUACCCCGUAAGCCACUGAGACUUGCUAUUGCAGGGAUCAGCCACCUCUGGCUCGCCAGCUGUUCUGAAAGUACAACUCCCAGAAUCCUCCUUUUACCUCUGUGGGAGUUAAAAGAACAGCCAAGUAAGUUUGCAUGCUGGGAGUUGUAGUUUCACAGCAGCUGGAGUGCUGAAAGUUGCUUAUACCUGGGCUAUAGGAUUGCCCGAGUAAGAUCCACACUUGAAGGGAUACAGAUGGUAAUGACGAAUGAUACAAGUCUCACGUUCUGAGCGGCGCACUGCUGGAGAUGAAUGGUGUCCACAAAAGUUAAACUGUAGUUUUAGACGUUUGAUAUAGAGGUCCAUGGAUCAUACUGCAGGCUACAUCUGUAUGUUGGCCAGUUAGAUAAUAGUGACUGUAGUUCAUUAGUUAUAAAAUGUAUGUAAAGAUAAUUGUCAUUUUCCUCACUGUCAUCCCGUAUGGUUAAAGAGCCCAGCGCUUCCUGCGCUAGUAAAUGGCGUCUAGUAGCGCUGUCUGCUCCUGUGCAAUAGUACAGCAUAGCAGGAAAGAGCAUAGCUGAUUGUGCAUCUAGGCAGGCCAUUUGGAUAUUAAUUAACCGCAGAGUCAACUCUCCUGCUUGCUGAGCUCUGUAGUUCCACUGUACAGUAGGUGGCAGAGAAUGACUCAGCCGACAGUUACACAGUUCAAGCGCUUGCUGAGCUCUGUAGUUCCACACUGUUUGGUACCUGGGCAGUAGUAUGGGCUUCUCGUGAUGCAGUUAUUGAUUCAUCCGCAUGGAUCAAGAUUAAGGCCUGCAGUUCAGAGUGGAACUACAGAGCUCAGCAAGCGCUUGAACUGUAACUGUCAGUCAAGUCACUCCCUGCCAACUACCAUACAGUGGAACUACAGAGCUCAGCAACCAGGUUUUAAUUAGCUGUUAAUAAACAAAUAGCCUGUGCAGGCGCACAAGGAGCUAUGAUCUUCCCUGCUAUAGCACAGGCGCAGACCACGCUACUAGAUGCCUUUUACUAGCGAAGGGAGCGCUGCGCUCUUUAGGUUUACUCUGUUUUUUAUUAUUUGCAUAAUAGGAAAAAAACAGCCAAACAAUCUCUUGAGAAUGUAUAGAUAAGUCUUAUAGGAUUGCGCAGGAUCCCCAUAAGCGCUGGGCUCUUUAACCAAAAUCACUAUUAUCUAACUGACCAACAUACAGUUGUAGCCUGCGUUACGAUCUAUGGACCUCUAUAAUACAAAUCUAACACUACAGUUUAACUUUUGAGGACUGCGUGAACCAUACAAUUCAGCUAUAGCAGUGCACUGCUCGGAAUGGGACUAUUAUACCAUUCAUUAGUACUAUUUGUAUAUGUGGAUUUUAUUCUCAGUGGUUCACAGGCUGCUAGUUUAUUAUUACUCUUCUCUUCUAUGUGAUGUGCUUUUGAUGUUAGUAUUUUAUUUACCACUGGAAUAAUCAAAUCAUUUUAAUACUCUACACCUUGAGUGCCAACCUUAUUUUAAUUGUUGAAUUUUCAGUUCUGAGCUCAGGCUGUGCACUCGGAGGACCGGCGUAGGUGGAAGCGAGCCGCCAUUAUUACUUUACAUUACAAGCUGAAAUUAGACCAUAAUGUGGACUGCAUGCUGGGAGUUAUCGUUUCACCAUAGUUAAAGAGCAGGUUGGAGAUCACUGGUCAGAGGUAGUAAAUGUGCCACCAUCAGUCAUUGUGAAAAGUCCCACGGCAGGAUUAAGAUCUUGGGUAAUGAACUACUUCUCAGGACUACACAUUACAAAUGUCCAGAGCGGCCUUUAUCACAUCUUUUUACCUAACGUCAUCAACUGUGUACAAAACGCCUCUGUAUACAAUAAAAUGCACAUUGAAAACUGAAAGACAUCAAUGUUCAGUCUUAUUUUUUUUUUUUUUUCAAAGAUCUCGGCGUAGAGCAUCUGAAUCGAAUUAUAAUCCCCGCGGAGAGUCGUUACAUAAGGGAGCAUGUGAUUUACACAACCACACAAACAAGUCCCGGGGGCAAAGGGGAUCUGGAGUUUUCCCACAUCUGUACAAAGUCCCUAAUACAAGUCCCCCAGAGGCGUGCUGG